rnacentral:lncRNA from 10 species
GGCUGCUCGUCUUUUACGGCCCUUCAACGCCCACCACGACCCACUCCUCUUGGAGACCCCGGGCGACGGUGGGGCUCUUGGGCAUUCUGAGACUGCGCUUGGUGGAGACCCCGGGCGACGGUGGAGCUCUUGGGCAUUCUGAGACUGCGCUUGGUGGAGCCCCCUACUGGCCAGACUGGAUUUCUCAGCCUGCGACUCAGCCCCAGGCUACACGAAAGAAGCCAGACCUGGCUUUUACUGCCUCCUGAGGCCUUCGUCUUGUUCACACUGAGUGUCCAGUCCCUCCAAAUCCGGCUACACUCUACUGGCAAGGAGCACCUGGGCCAUGUUUUAGAGAUCAUCCGAGGACUAACCCCAAAAGUUUAUGAAGAGAAAGCAGAGGCCGAGCUGAAGAGAUGGACCCGGGUCACACCCAGGUAAAGGCAGGAUCUAAACUGAAACUGGUGUCAGAUCUGGUUGCCUUGCACCCCUGAUAUCAGGUGAAGCAACACUGGGCAGGAUAGAGCAGAGUGAGGUCAGAGUGUGAAGAUCCAGCCUGAUGCCCAAACUGACGCCUCUUCAUUCUCCCCUGCUCCAUCUGUAAACGUCACGGUUAAUCCAUCUACUUUAUUGCAUUAUAUAGAGAAAUAAAUGAAAUGUCAUAGCUGU